CGUCGAUUGUUGCCUUGUUUCCAUGAAACGUGGAAACAAAUGUAUAAGGUAUAUGCAUGACAUUCGCUAUUGUAACAAUUGGAGGGUGUGUUAACUUACUUUUUUCCAUGACAUUAGUCCGAUGAAACGUUCACGAAAAGCGCUCUAGAUUUAUUUUGUACCGAUUUGGUUAAAUUUAGGAGUAUUUACGCGGUAUUUAUUUUAAUUUUCUUACAGACAUACCAUUUGCAAAAUCAGAAAUGCAAGGCAAUGUACGACUGCACUAUAUACUGUACAGCAGUUUGGACGGAGAAACGGGACAAUGGAUUUCGCCAGAACUCGAAACAAUCGGGCAACGACAUAUACACAGUAUUUCAUAUUUACUACAUUAAAUACACCAAUUUUAAUUCAGCUAGUGUAUAGACCUGAAGCAAGCUUAUCAAAUUCCCAUUUCAACUGAGUCUCAGAAGUAUCUGAUACUAUCAACACCCAUCUGAGUCUCUUUACUUUUAAAAAAUUGCCUAACGGGAUUCAUUCAGGACGGUCCUGCUAUAUAUUUCAUAUUGGAUAUGCAAGAAGUUUAAGGCAGGGUAAGUAUAACUUUACUUUAUUACAUUCAAUACACCCUUCUGCAAGUACUCAAUUCCGACCUUGGCUGCUAUAGCUGAGGAACUUCGUUUUCGUGAAUAAAUUUCAACGUUAUUAUUAUUAUUAUUAUUAUUAUUAUUAGUAGUAGUAUAGUAAAUCUUUCAAUUUCAUCUUAUCAUAACACACACACACACACAAACUUGAUAAUCACAUAAUUAUUUAUGAACUUGUGCUUAACGGUCAUCAACUGGUACAAGAGUUGGUUAGAGCGCUAGUGCAGGGCCACAGGUUCUAUUCCUGCCAGAAAACCUACCGUUGCAAUUAUUCGCAAUCGUUCAACCAGGUUCGUCUAUGUUCUUAAAUGAGGACACUCAUUCGUCCAGCACAUCUGCAACUUAUAAUGUUGCCUAUCUUUUCAUGCAUGUAUAUAUAUUAUUGUAUUAUUAUGUAUAUUUAUAUGAACUCAUCACAUCAUAAUUAAUAAUUCAUGAAUAAAACUUAAAUAUUUAACGAGGUGUCCGUGUCGACACAAUUCAUAUAAGAAUUCUCCCGGUUUUCAUGAACACCGAUUUUGUUUGAGUUUCAAUAAUUUCUUAAAACAAAACUGUGGUAAAAUCUUUAAUAUUGAUUAACAAUUCAACAAGAUAUUGCAUUAAUACAUUCAUCAAAUAAAAAAAA